CAAUAGCGUAUAUUAAAGCUGUUGCGGUUAAAAAGCUCGUAGUUGGAUUUCUGUCAGGGACAACUGGUCCGCCCCUCGGGUGAGCACAUAGUUUGGUCUUGGCAUCUUGUUGGAAACUGUUGCUGCACUUGGUUGUGUGGCGCAGUGUCCAGCACUUUCACUUUGAGGAAAUUGGAGUGUUUCAAGCAGGCACAUGCCUUUGGACACAGUAGCAUGGAAUAAUUAGAUUGGGCUUUUGCUCCAACUUGUCGGUUUCUGGAGCUGAGGUGAGAAUUAAUGGGGAUUGUUGGGGGCAUCCGAAUUUAGCCGUCAGAGGUGAAAUUCUUGGAUCUGCUAAAGACGGACAACUGCGAAAGCGUUUGCCCAGGAUGUUUUCAUUGA
rnacentral:rRNA from 1 species